UACGUAGGGGGCAAGCGUUGUCCGGAAUCAUUGGGCGUAAAGCGCGCGUAGGCGGCCAGACAAGUCCGGUGUGAAAGUCACAGGCUCAACCUGUGAAUGCCGCUGGAAACUGUCUGGCUAGAGUCCGGAAGGGGCGAGUGGAAUUCCUGGUGUAGCGGUGAAAUGCGCAGAUAUCAGGAGGAACACCUAUGGCGAAGGCAGCUCGCUGGGACGGUACUGACGCUGAGGCGC
rnacentral:rRNA from 1 species